rnacentral:rRNA from 1 species
GAUGAACGCUAGCGGCAGGCUUAACACAUGCAAGUCGAGGGGUAACAGGGGAGCUUGCUUCCGCUGACGACCGGCGAACGGGUGCGUAACGCGUAUAGAAUCUGCCUUGUACAGGAGGAUAGCCUUUAGAAAUGAAGAUUAAUACUCCAUAAUAUUGAGAAGUGGCAUCGCUUUUUAAUUAAACAUUUAUGGGUACAAGAUGACUAUGCGUCCUAUUAGCUAGAUGGUAAGGUAACGGCUUACCAUGGCAACGAUAGGUAGGGGAUCUGAGAGGAUUAUCCCCCACACUGGUACUGAGACACGGACCAG